GACGUAGGGGGCGAGCGUUGUCCGGAUUCAUUGGGCGUAAAGCGCGCGUAGGCGGCCCGAUAAGUCGGAUGUGAAAUCUCACGGCUCAACCGUGGAACUGCAUUCGAUACUGUCGGGCUAGAGGCAGGUAGGGGAGAUCGGAAUUCCCGGUGUAGCGGUGAAAUGCGCAGAUAUCGGGAGGAACACCCGUAGCGAAGGCGGCACUCUGGGCCGGUACUGACGCUGAGGAGCGAAAGCGUGGGGAGCAAACAGG
rnacentral:rRNA from 1 species